GCCGACGACGGUGGCACUAAUUGACGGGUUGCCAGUUGCAGUCUGAGAUGUGAAAGUCACCGACGGAACUGAUGUCGCCUUUGGGAACGUACUUUCGGUCUUUCACCUCGACACCAUAAUUAAUCUGCGGCUUGUUACGCCGCCGUGAUCGAACGCGAAAUGACACGCACGCGUCUUCCGAUGAUUUUAACGUCCAAUAAUAAUGGUCACGUAAUAAAUGUCCGCUUAAAUUGUAAUGCACGACAGUAACGGCGGAAAUAUUAUAGCCACAGGUCGCGAAUUAACUUUUGAAAAUGGUUUUAACCUCUCGUUAAUUUUUAUUUCAACGCUUUGGGUUAUUAACGACCAGCUCUCUACAUUCAACAUUCCUCUGCGCGAAUUAUAUUCUUCGUGAAUAGUCCUUUAAUGAAAUAGAGCUUCGCUGAAAUAAAGUUUACGAACGAUUCGCUCGAUAAAAGUUCCGUUGCUCAAAAAAAAAAAAAAAAAAAAAACGAACAAGACUUCUAUUUGAAGCGUGAUUGUUGUAUUUCAGAGCCGACACCCAUAAUGCGCAUGCCGCCGCGUGUGGGGAACGUUCAUUACGCAUCUAGACGCUCGUUAGUCUCAUUACGCAUUCGCCGGACGUCACGCGUAAUACGGACGUUACUCUCCGGCCUGAAUGUAAAUCUCUCCGCAGUUUCCGCGCGAGUCACGAGAAUUCGGUGUGUGCGAUGCGCGCGCGAUGCGGCUAACGCGCACGGUAGGUUUGCGCAGAUUGCGCGAGCACGCGAUGUUUUCUGCAUACCGGUCGCUAUUUUCGUACGUCGACCGGGGGAACCGGAUGGUCGACGACUCGCUUUGAGCGAGAUAUCGCGAUGCCGGCCGCAUAAAUCGACGGUAGAUACGGCCGUUGGUCGCGCUCACGCGUGUUCAGCCGCGCGUUCGGUCGCUCUCUGCUCCCGCCCGCCUCGCUCUGCGUUCUCUACUCGUUUCGCCAUCGCGUCUCGCUCGCUCUCUGCUCCUCUUUCUCUCUCUCUCUCUCUCCCUCGUCCUCCCCGCGCGCCCGCGUCGGCACCGGUAUACAUAUAUUGAAAGUAAUCUACUGUCGGAUUACUUUGACGGCGCAGCCUGGCCCUAAGCGGAUCAAAGAGACCUUCUCUCCUCCUCUCUUUCUUUCGCCCGCGUGCGCGCGGCAAGGUGCCGGUCGGCGGAGCUCCCCCGCGUCCGUCUCGCGUCAAGAAAGGGAGGGGUGCAGAAGAAGAAGAAGACUGCGCCGCUACGCGCGGACUCGCGUCUAAUGCGGCAUUCGCAUUAAAGCCCGACGAUCAUCCCGGUCGUGUUCUGGGUUCUGGCCUGCCUUUCAUCUCACGCUGAUUUAACCGUGCUGUAAAAAGAAUUUACUGGAUCGUAUAUACCGCGCGCGUCGUUGGUGGGACUACGACCGGAGUUGAAAAGCUGGCGGCGGAGGGCUGAAAGCUGCUGGUUCACGGAGGAGGAGAAAGAGGGCUGGUGUGCGAGUCACACAUUGACUGGGAGCGAACAAAAAUAAACACUGAAAGUUUCUCAGGUACAGAGAAAAACGAUUAUUGAAGCGAGAGUGUCUCUUUUGUACACGGCAAAUAUACGCAUCCGUUCACUACUUCAGGCGUCGUAUUUUGUCAAAAAUCGAAAGUCGAAGAUAGACUCCCGACGGAGAUACAAAUUGUACGAAAUCUAUUGAAUGGGAAGAGACCAUAGAGGCCGUAGAGGGAUAACCGCCAGGAAAGAUGGUAGAAAGCAAUAGCAUUGAUUGGAUCGUUUCUACACUUUCAGAAGAGGAUUUUCCGAGAUCAAAAUUGUUGGUCCCUUGUGACCAAUUUUCGGGUGACAUUGUCCGAUCGCACGUGCGGGAUUGGGGAUAUGCGUUGCAUAAUAAGUUCUCUUCACUCGGACACUAUGUUAUGACGCAGACGUAGCUACGCCAUUGGCACCACGGACACCGCACGAAGUGCGUGUAUGGACGGUUGUUUAGGAUUACAACACACAAAGAUAACCACCAGCAUGCGAUACAUAAUGCAGCAGGCAUUGUGAGCCUUACCGCGCCCUCCUGCAUACAAUACGUUCUACCGAUGCAUUCUAUUGUUGUCUUUCGAAAUAAACUCAGUCAGCCACCACCUCUCCCCGGGGCUCUAUAUUAUCUCCAUACGCAUAAUACAUAUUGCAUUCACGAUUCUCGUUUAGCUUGCCACUUUACCUUGGCGUAUUUGACAGAGCAGCCUUUGAGACGACUGUGUUAACCUUACGCAAAGACGCAGUUCAUCUUAUUGUUAUUAAAAUUAUGCCAACAAUGAUUUCGAGACACGUGACUAAGCACUUAUACAACGUUACCGAUUUCAAGAUGUUUUUUGAAAGGUAUCGGCAGCGAUGAUGAUACAACAAUGCGUUUAUAAUACACACUUGAAAUGAUUAAAUAAAAAUAUUCAUCAAACUA